CCCCAAUCAAUGGGUUCCUCCAACCAGUGGGUGCCCAAACCAGUGGAUAACCCCAGACCAGUUGAUGCCUCCAAGCAGUCAGUGCCCCAAAAGAGUGGUUGAACCCAACCAGUGGAUUCCCCAAAACCAGUGUUUGCCCCCAAUCAGUGGGUUCCUCCAACCGUUGGGUGCCCCCAAUCAAUGGGUUCCUCCAACCAGUGGGUGCCCAAACCAGUGGAUAACCCCAGACCAGUUGAUGCCUCCAAGCAGUCAGUGCCCCAAAAGAGUGGUUGAACCCAACCAGUGGGUUCCCCAAACCAGUGUUUGCCCCCAAUCAGUGGGUUCCUCCAACCAGUGGAUGACCCCAAACCAGUGGGUCCCUCCAACUAUUGGGUGACGCAAACCAGUGGAUGACCCCAAACUAUUGGGUGCCCCACGCCAGUAGUUGCCCCCAACCAGUGAGUGCCUCCAACCACUGGUUGCCCCAAACCAGUGGGUGCUCCCAACCAAUGGUUGCCCCCAACCUGGGGUCCCUUGUCCUCCACGAUGCCCCAGGAAGCCCUGGUAGCCAUCUGGCCACUGUGGCAUCCUGGUGGAGUAGAAGGUCAGCGUUACCGGGUGCCGCCGAUGCCGUAGGGUCGCGGGAAGAUUCGCUCGUCGGUGUCGCUGCCGCGCAAAUCGACGGUGCCGUGGCAGCGCUACGCGGAGGAGGCGGCGGUGGCCCAGGGCGAGCUCUACGCCAUCCACCCCCUGGAGAAGGUGACCACCCUGGGUGGGUGGGUAGGUGGGUGUUAGCCAAAACCACCGAGGUGGCCCCGUUGGCCGUGUCCCACUUGUCACACCCCAUCUUGGUCCUUCUCCAGCACGGGCGGUUGAUCGAGGGGUUGAGGAAGGAGGUGGGGGAGAACCAGGAGAAGAUUCGGUUGAUGGAGAUGAAGGUCGGGGAGAUGGAGGAGCAGCACCGGGAGCAGCUGGAGAGGCUCCGGAAGCAGCUGGAGGAGGCCAACGCCCGGGCGGCAAAUUUGGGGGCCAGGUUGACGGCGGCCGAGGGCACCAGGAAGAAGGAUCUGGAGAGGCUGAAGAGCAGCGAGGAGAAGAACCGGGAGCUGGAGAGACGGCUGUCGGCGCUGGAGAGGGAGCAGGCGGAGCUGCGGGGUGCCAUGGCCCAAACCCUGGGCCACCCUGGCAGGACGGGACGGCGGAUGGUGGCACGGGGCUGGGACGAGAGCGGUGACGACGCUCAGGCCACCAGCGUGUGACCGGCUUGUCCCCAACAUGUCCCCAGUGUCACCCCACCAUCUCCUGGGUCUUUCCCAAGGGGUGUCACCUUCCCCUGGCAAUAAACAGUGUUGGUGUCACCGUCA
rnacentral:lncRNA from 1 species